rnacentral:rRNA from 1 species
GACGAACGCUGGCGGCGUGCUUAACACAUGCAAGUCGAACGGAAAGGCUCCAGCUUGCUGGAGUACUCGAGUGGCGAACGGGUGAGUAACACGUGGGUAAUCUGCCCUGCACUCUGGGAUAAGCCUGGGAAACUGGGUCUAAUACUGGAUAUGACCUUUCUCCUUAUGGGGUUUGGUGGAAAGUUUUUCGGUGUAGGAUGAGCCCGCGGCCUAUCAGCUUGUUGGUGGGGUGAUGGCCUACCAAGGCGACGACGGGUAGCCGGCCUGAGAGGGUGAUCGGCCACAUGGGGACGGAGAUACGGCCCAGACUCCUACGGGAGGCAGCAGUGGGGAAUAUUGCACAAUGGGCGGAAGCCUGAUGCAGCGACGCCGCGUGAGGGAGGACGGCCUUCGGGUUGUAAACCUCUUUCAGCAGGGACGAAGCGUAAGUGACGGGACCUGCAGAAGAAGCACCGGCUAACUAUGU